rnacentral:lncRNA from 1 species
GUGUGUUCUGUACGCGAUCAGGGAAGGCUCUAGAGAGCCAAACCCUAGUUCAUCAUAUAUCAACCAAUUGAAGCAUGAAUCGGGGCUCAAAUUCAAGAAGGAACAUGAAUUAACGAUCACCCAAGCUAGGGGAUCAUAAGGAAUCAUGUCAAGAUGGAUGGGAGCUUUGAAGGCUAACGGGCUAAGAGGACUCAAUCAAGUAAGCGAACGAGAAUACGGACGCGCAAGGCUAUACAUGUUUGGAUGUUUCAUCUAGAAGUGUACGCGGUUGGAGAUCGAGUCAAGACACGGAUUGUAUGUGGGUGUGUACGUAGUCACAUAAUUGAGACAUGUAUGUUAGUUUUUGGAUUAAUUUAUAAAAAGAGAUUAAUGUAUUUAAAUGAAAGAAAGAAUAUCUUGAAGGAAUAUUUU